GCCGUGGACCCCAGGACAGCAGCCAAACUUACCUUGAUCAAAGAUCCUUCCACUACUGUUCCGUUCAGGCUCCCCAUUGCAAGCUGGGCAGCCUCCAGAACUUCAUACUGGGUACAGAUGUGAGGCUUUAGGGAAGAAAAACAUGGCAACACGGCUCGGAUGUAACCAUCUCAGGCCGACAAACAGGAGAGCUGCUGCACAAAACCGAGGUGCGCAUUUCGAAGACAGAAGGCCUGCUUACUUGAGGAAAGCAGAACACAUCAAGGUUCCAUGCAGAUACUCCUUGCCUUGAGGACUCACAUGCCUUAUGGGGCUGGACAAACUUCGCGCGCAAUCUUACGCAUGUCUAAUGCAGAAGCAAGCCCUGCGGAUUUCAACGGCAGUUACUUCCUGCCAAGUGGGUGCAGGACUGCACCAUUAUCAUCUUUUCCCUCCUUUCUGCUGCACAAGGCUCCAGAUGUCUUUUUGCUUUUGAGCAAAGCAAAGUCAUUGGCAAACGAUUCGGACGACACAUGAAAUCAAGGACGAUGCACACUGCUGAAGUGGGAGAAAGGUCUGUAUCGCUUCGGACAGCCUGGAAAGCAUGUGCACUUUUGCUUCUGGGGAAAAGUGUGGUUUGGUGGAUGGGAUUUUAGAAACCUCGCCCCCCACCAUGGGCAAGUGAAUCCUUGCUCCCCCCCUGCUGUGCUCCCAAUCCAUUUGGGUCCCCUGGCAGCUUCUAUCAUAAAGAUUUCAAAGCAAGAAAAGAUGGACUCGUACGUUUCCACUGUGACGUGUGUCUUGGUGCACAUCAAACGAUGUAUGGCUACCUUCUCUCUCUCCAUGUGCUUGCAAUCCUUCAGCAUCCUGGAGCAUGUCUGUGUGGUUUUGUCAUUUUUUUUUCAAGGAAUAAGAGCAUAAACAGGUUACCUGGUGAGGUAGUCGCUGAUUGGCAAUUUUGGCUUGACCAGCUCAUUCAUAAUGCACCGGCCACUGGCAUCCACCACUGAAAUUCGCGUGAGUUCGGAUCCCUUGCUGGUGAGACACUGGUUAAAAACGAUGGACGAUGUUAGGAAAGGCCUCACAGCGUUUCUUUGCCUCUUGAUUCCAAUGAUACAACUGAAAUCCCAUACAAGUCAAUCGUCAUGCUUGGACAACUGCUACUCUAGACUUCUUUGAUCUGCUAUGUCCUAGAUGUGUUUAUGACUCCCAACCUUCCCUGCUAGCAUGGGAGUUAAAGCCCAAAACUCCUGGAAGACACCAGGGCUGGGAAGGCCGGUGUCCUGAAUGCACCUGAGGAGGAAAAAAUGGGAAGCGCAUCUUUGUUCUAGGGGUGUACAACCAGCAGUCCUGAGGGCCGCAUGUGGCCCUCAGCUUAACUUCAUGCAGCCCUGGACCUUGUUUGAAAAGUCUUCUGCAUGUGGUCUCUUCAGACUUUAGACUUCUGGCAAAAGCAGGCUCUAGCCCUCUCCUUUUAGUUGGCUGAAUGGGAGGGAAUGAGAAGGAAAAGGGGGCUGGGCAGAGAUGGCAAAGGUGGAAAAUGAGACAAAAGAGUGUGGGAGAAAGAGAAAAGGGUUGACCCACUGGAUUUUAGCUCUGGACCUGCUUACUACCGAUAUGCAGCUCUGACAGACCGCCAGUAAGGAAAUACGCCUGUAACAGAAAAAAGCUUGCCUGCUCUUUCUUUAUACUUAGUGGUUGAAAUUUUGGCCUUCCUACAAAAAAAGGUUAAUUUCCACCAUUAACUUUGUGUAAUCGACACUGACUGUCACCUUAUGCCAAGGGAGACCACCAUCCAUCUGGUACUAAAUUGUCUACUCUGACCAAUGACGACUCCCCAGGGUUCCAGGCAGCAGUUCUUCCCAGCUCUGCCUGGAGAUGCCCAGGAUGGAACCUGGAGCGUUUGCGUGUGAAACACACACCCAGCCAGUCUGCUGCGGCCUUCUUCUCUGGACGAACCAUGCAUGUAAUGCUACGCCAUAAACUGACCCUCACGAGAUCGCCUCCUGAAGGGUUUCCGCCAAUCAAUUCUAUUAGCCAUGGCAGGGCAGGAAAACAAAUCCCUCCUUUCUUCUACCCAUCAGGGAAUUUCACGCAACAUACCAUUUCGCAGUCUAGUCCAAAAAGCGGGCUGCUGUCUGUUGCUGGGCUGUUGCAACCAGUGUGAACAAAAUGGCUGCAGCUGUCAUCAUCUGGAGAAGGAAGAAACAAGAUGGCUCAGGAGCCUGCGUGAGUUACGGAUGAUUCAGUGCUAGCUGGAUGUGGGAAAAUCAACUGCACAGCCCAGCUCAUGUGUUAAAUCAUUGAAUUCUAUUUAUCCCACCUUUCUUCCACUGUGGCACUCAAGGAGGCCAAAAAAGUGCCUUUGAGCUGUUGUUUGGAGGAUAAACUAUAGUUAAAAAGGUAAAGGUUUCCCCUUGACAUUAAGUCCAGUCAUGCCUGGCUCUCGGGGGCGGUGCUCAUCUCCGGUGCUCAUCUCCAUUUCC